GGCUCAGGAUAAACGCUGGCGGCGCACAUAAGACAUGCAAGUCGAACGGACUUAACUCAUCUUUAGAUGAGAGCGGUUAGUGGCGGACUGGUAGAGUAACACGUAAGCAACCUGCCUAUUAGAGGGGAAUAACAACGAGAAAUCGUUGCUAAUACCGCAUAAGCUGAUAGUAUCGCAUGAUACAGUCAGAAAAGGAGCAAUCCGCUAAUAGAUGGGCUUGCGUCUGAUUAGCAGUUGGUGGGGUAACGGCCUACCAAGGCGACGAUCAGUAGCCGAGCUGAGAGGCUCUACGGCCACAUUGGGACUGAGAUACGGCCCAGACUCCUACGGGAGGCAGCAGUCGGGAAUAUUGCGCAAUGGAGGAAACUCUGACGCAGUGACGCCGCGUAUAGGAUGAAGGUUUUCGGAUUGUAAACUAUUGUCGUUAGGGAAGAAAUUUGACAGUACCUAAGGAGGAAGCUCCGGCUAACUAUGUGCCAGCAGCCGC
rnacentral:rRNA from 1 species